rfam:Oryza nivara chromosome 1, whole genome shotgun sequence.
AAAAAGGUAAACCCUGGGUUUCCGUGUCCAACUUUGACUAUCCGUCUUAUAUAAAAUUUUUUUAUAAUUCGUAUUUUCGUUGUUGUUAUAUGAUAAAAACAUGAUUAAUAUUUUAUGUGUGACUUAUCUUUUUAAUUUUUUUCAUAAUUUUUUUAAGUAAGACGAACGGUCAAACAUUGGGCACGGAAACCAGGGUUUGUCUUUUU